rnacentral:rRNA from 1 species
UACGUAGGGGGCAAGCGUUGUCCGGAAUCAUUGGGCGUAAAGAGCGUGUAGGCGGCCACGCAGGUCCGUUGUGAAAACUGGAGGCUCAACCUUCAGACGUCGACGGAAACCGUAUGGCUAGAGUCCGGUAGGGGACCACGGAAUUCCUGGUGUAGCGGUGAAAUGCGCAGAUAUCAGGAGGAACACCGGUGGCGAAGGCGGUGGUCUGGGCCGGAACUGACGCUGAGGAGCGAAAGCGUGGGGAGCGAACAGG